rnacentral:tRNA from 1 species
AGAAAUUUAGGUUAACAAAACCAAGAACCUUCAAAGCUCUAAAAAAGAGUAAAACCUCUUAAUUUCUG